AAAAAGAAAAAAAAUACAUGUACAGCAAAAGAGAGUGUAGGCCCUUGAAAACUGCCUGAAGAACCGCGCAAGGAAACGGAGAGGGGCGGGAUUUCGCUUUGAUUCCUUCCGUGACCCGUGUGCUCUUUGGAUCCUGAGGGGUUUGCAGGCUCAUCGCCCUGCGCUACCCACCGCCGGCUGAGGAGGGCGCUGUGGCCGCCGGAAUCCCGUCGACCAGGGCAGGGACGACAGCACCGAGGGCGGUGCCGCAUGCGCAGCAGCAGGAGCCGAAGCGCUGCGGCGUGAAGUCUUCCCGUGGGAAAUCCAGUUGUCGCCGAGGGCGCCGGCCCGGCGGCUCUGUCGCUCUUGGCGUUGCGUGGGUGGCACCUUGGGGCGCAGAGGAGCCAACGGCAUCAUGCCCGCCACCGCUGGGGCCAGAGACGCGUUUUCUCCGGACGGCCCUCCGGCAAGAGGCAAAGGGUGCAGGCCACGCCCCCGAAAGGUGGAAAGACUGUAUCCCAGUUGGACAGCACCUGCCAGGGACUCGUUUCAUUGCUAUCAAAGUUCCUUUGAAAAAGAUUCCAGAUAUUAGUGAAACCAUAUGGUAUUCGUCUUUCUCUGACUGACUUAUUUC